UAUUUUUGAAUUUAAUUUAUUUGUUUUUGGGUGAAAUUUAAAUUUUUAUUAAUUUCUUUUAGAUUCUUUGAAGUUUAUUAUUUAAACUAGGAUUAGAUACCCUAUUAUAUUAUAUGUAAAAUUUUUAACCUGGGUAUUAUUAGUUAUGUUCUUUAAACCUAAAGAAUUUGGCUGUGUUUUAGUCUAUUCAGAGGAAUUUGUCCCUUAAUCGAUAGUCCUCGUUUUAUCUUACUUUAAUUUGUUUUUCAGUAUGUAUAUCGCCGUUAUAAGUUUAUUUUAUUAGGAUAAGAAUUUACUUAAUUCUAUUUAUGAUUUAUUUC
rnacentral:rRNA from 1 species